UUGCACGGAGCACCCUGGGCUUUCCUGAAGAACUCCGUGAUGACAGAAUCCCCAACGAUCAUACCAGAUGGAUUCGCCGUUCCUUGUUAUAGUUCUGUUCACAAAUUCGAACGACCGAUCUAUGUGAAUGCAAUGGCUAAAUUU